ACUUCGUGUCCAAGCAAGAUAAACAUAAGAGGGGUGAUGGAAAGUAAGGGGAUAUUUGGUUCGUAAUCAGAAUCAGAAUGGGAAUGAAAAUCAGAAUGGUUUGAAAUCGGAAUCAGAAUGAUCAAAUAUUUGGUUCGUAAUCGAAAUCGAAAUUAAAAUGAAAAAUUGAAUCCAUAGAGGAAAGUAGGGAUUGAGCUCUAUAUAGAUUGAGCCAUUCCCAUUCCA
rnacentral:lncRNA from 1 species